rnacentral:rRNA from 1 species
UUAAAAUUUGAUCUGCUCAAUGAGGGUUUAAAUUGCCGCAGUAUUUUAAUUGUGCAAAGGUAGCAUAAUAAUUAGUUUCUUGAUUAGAAGCUGGAAUGAAUGAUUGGACGAUAAAAUGACUGUCUCUAAUUAAUUUGUUUAUGAAAUUUAUUUUUAAGUUAAAAAGCUUAAAUUUUCUUAAAAGACGAGAAGACCCUAUAGAGUUUAAUAUUAAUUUACUAUUUAAUGUUGGAAUUUGAAUAGUGAUUUAUUAUUUGGUUGGGGUGACUUAAAAAUUAAGCUAAUUUUUUAAUAGUUUAUGUUUCUGAUGUGAAAUUGUUUAAUUUAGUUUUUUAAAUUUAAUAUAAAUUACCUUAGGGAUAACAGCGUAAUUUUUCUUAAAGUUCUUAUUGAAUGAAAAGUUUGCGACCUCGAUGUUGGAUUAAAAUUUAUUUUAGGUGUAGAAACAUAAAAAUUAAGUCUGUUCGACUUUUAAAAUUUUACAUGAUCUGAGUUUAGACCGGCGUGAGCCAGGUUGGAUUCUAUCUUUAAUUUGAUGGAAUAUUUUA